AUCAGUGCUAACCUUUCAGAACUUGAAGAAGAAAGAUUAUUGAAAGUUCUAAGGAAGCACUGGGCUGCUAUUGGAUAUACUGUUGAUGAUUUAAAGGGCAUUAGUCCCACUCUGUGUCAGCACAAAAUUAAUAUGGAACCUGAUGCUAAACCAGUUGUUGAUCACCAACGUCGGUUAAAUCCGAAGAUGAAAGAAGUGGUAAGAACAGAAAUAUUAAAACUUCUGGAAGCAGGUAUAAUCUAUCCCAUAGCUGAUAGUAGAUGGGUAAGUCCUAUUAAUUGUGUUCCUAAGAAAGGAGGUAUUAUUGUUGUUCCUAAUGAUAAGAAUGAACUUAUUCCACAAAGAAUUGUUACAGGCUAUAGAAUGGUAAUUGAUUUUAGAAAUUAA
rnacentral:rRNA from 1 species